AUUGAACGCUGGCGGCAUGCCUUACACAUGCAAGUCGAACGGCAGCGGGGGAGAAGCUUGCUUUUCCUGCCGGCGAGUGGCGAACGGGUGAGUAAUACAUCGGAACGUGCCCUGUAGUGGGGGAUAACUAGUCGAAAGAUUAGCUAAUACCGCAUACGACCUGAGGGUGAAAGUGGGGGACCGCAAGGCCUCAUGCUAUAGGGCAGGCCGAUGUAUGGUUAGCUAGUUGGUGGGGUAAAGGCCUACCAAGGCGAGGAUCAGUAGCGGGUCUGAGAGGACGAUCAGCCACACUGGGACUGAGACACGGCCCAGACUCCUACGGGAGGCAGCAGUGGGGAAUUUUGGACAAUGGGCGAAAGCCUGAUCCAGAAAUGCCGCGUGUGAAGAAGGCCUUCGGGUUGUAAAGCACUUUUGUCCGGAAAGAAAUGGCUCUGGUUAAUACCUGGGGUCGAUGACGGUACCGGAAGAAUAAGGACCGGCUAACUACGUGCCAGCAGCCGCCGUAAAAC
rnacentral:rRNA from 1 species